ensembl:lncRNA
CUACAUUUUGCCUCACAGGAAUCUUAGUUUGCACACUCCUUUUACUUAGCUUGUGUUGACACUUCACACACUGGAGCGAAGACCUCACUCAUCUCCACUUUGCAGUACAGAACUGUAGAAUCAUCCAUGAUAUAGGAUCGCAUGCAAACACAAAACUGUAAAUGUUUUAAUAAAACAGAGAAUGAUCACAUCUGAUUUUCUUCCAGUCCUUUCUAAUGGAAGAUUUUAAUUUCACUAUAUCUAAGUGAACAGUAUAUAUUUUUCUUUUGUCGUAUCUGGCUUGGUGAAGCCCUUUAGACUUGAUGGGCUAGUAUUUGUUUUGUUCUAACAGCUUUCAAAAAGUAUUUACCACUACUACCAAGGAACCCAUAGGAAAUUUCACUCUGGUGACAGGCUAACUUUGGCCUUGGAGUCCAUCUAAAUGGCUUGACAGAGUAUUUCCUGGAAGGAACACAUCACAUGGAGAAAGAAGAUAAAGCAGAAGAACAAGAGCAAAUAAUUUAAUGUAUUUAUAUCUUAUCUAAAGAUUGUUACCAUCACCAGUGACAUCCUCUAACUUCACCAGACUGGUUCCUGUGAGAUAGUGGCUGAAAGUAGAAUUAAUGAUUAUUACAAAGCUGUUACAGCACAGACUGAUAAUACAUGAGAACAAAAUGGCAAGAGGCACUCAGUGCCAACAGAGAUGCCUUGCAAUCCUGUUUCAUCCAAAGUCAAUACUCAGAUGAAUGGAGGACAUUGUAUCAACAACCAGAAACACAGAAUCACAGAACCAUUGCGGUUAAAAGGGACAUCUGGAGAUCAUCUAGUCCAAAGGGUCACUUAGAGCAGGAAUGUGUCCAGGUGGGUUUUAAGGGUCUCCAGGAAGGGAAGAGCUCCCAUGAGCUUCUUGGGCAGCCAGUUCCAGUGCUCUGCUACCCUCAAUGUAAAGUUUCUCCUUCUGUUAAGGUAAAAAUUCUCGUGGUUUUGUUUAUGUCCAUUGUUCCUGACCCUGUCACUGGGAACAAAGGAGAAGAAUCUGGCAUCAUCCUUUUGGCACCCACCUUUGAGAUAUUUAUAUGUAUUGACAACAUGCCCCCUCGGUCUUCUCUAGAUUAAACAGGCCCAGCUUCCUCAGCCUUUUCUCACAAGGGAGAUCAUUCAAACCCCUAAUCAUCUCUGUGGCCUCCACUGGACCCUCCCUCUGCAGUAGCUCCUUGUGUCUCUUGGACUGAGGAGCCCAGAACUGGACACUCCAGAGGUGGCCUCACCAGGGCUGAGUAGAAGGACAGGACCAACUCCCUUGACCUGCUGGCAGUGCUGCUCCUAAUGCAUCCCAGGGUACCGAAGGCUCUCUUGAUGGCAAGGGAACACUCCUGGCUUGUGGUCAACUUGUCAUCUGCCAAGACUCCCAGGUCCUUCUCAGCAGAGCUGAGAAGUCUACACAGCAGCCUUCCACAGCUGGAGGUCUGAACCACUGUCCAGCAGUGCUUCUCAGUGUCUCUGGACAUGCAGGCAGCCUAAACUGCUGACUGAAACUGAUGGCUUAACUUGCCAUGUGAAUAAAAAUGUAGUAAAUGAAUGCCA